CCACACAUAAAUAUAUAUAUAUAUGUUUACUACAACACCCACACAUAAAUAUAUAUCUAUAUGUUUACUACAACACCCACACAUAAAUAUAUAUCUAUAUGUUUACUACAACACCCAUACAUCAAUAUAUAUCUAUAUGUACAGUUUCCCCUAGAUACAGAUCUGGCAUCAGUUUCCCCAAGGUACAGAUCUAGGAUCAGCUGACCCAAGAUACAGAUCUAGGGUCAGUUUCCUCUAGGUACAGAUCUAGGAUCAGUUUCCUCUAGGUACAGAUCUAGGAUCCGUUUCCUCUAGGUACAGAUCUAGGAUCAGUUUCCUCUAGGUACAGAUCUAGGAUCAGUUUCCUCUAGAUACAGAUCUAGGAUCAGUUUCCUCUAGAUACAGAUCUAGGAUCAGUUUCCUCUAGAUACAGAUCUAGGAUCAGUUUCCUCUAGAUACAGAUCUAGGAUCAGUUUCCUCUAGAUACAGAUCUAGGAUCAGUUUCCUCUAGAUACAGAUCUAGGAUCAGUUUCCUCUAGAUACAGAUCUAGGAUCAGUUUCCUCUAGAUACAGAUCUAGGAUCAGUUUCCUCUAGGUACAGAUCUAGGAUCAGUUUCCUCUAGAUACAGAUCUAGGAUCAGCUGACCCAAGAUACAGAUCUAGGAUCAGUUUCCUCUAGGUACAGAUCUAGGGUCAGUUUCCUCUAGGUACAGAUCUAGGAUCAGUUUCCCCUAGAUACAGAUCUAGGAUCAGUUUCCCCUAGAUACAGAUCUAGGAUCAGUUUCCCCUAGAUACAGAUCUAGGAUCAGUUUCCCCUAGAUACAGAUCUAGGAUCAGUUUCCCCUAGAUACAGAUCUAGGAUCAGCUGACCCAAGAUACGUUCUGUUUUCAUGAUUCUGUUAUCAUUAUUACAAGCGUAUUACAUUCUAAAUGGUCUUGUAACUAAUACUUAGAUCAUGUUGAACAGAAACUACAUUCUAAAUGGUCUUGUAACUAAUACUUAGAUCAUGUUGAACAGAAACUACAUUCUAAAUGGUCUUGUAACUAAUACUUAGAUCAUGUUGAACAACAGAAACUACAUUCUAAAUGGUCUUGUAACUAAUACUUAGAUCAUGUUGAACAGAAACUACAUUCUAAAUGGUCUUGUAACUAAUACUUAGAUCAUGUUGAACAACAGAAACUACAUUCUAAAUGGUCUUGUAACUAAUACUUAGAUCAUGUUGAACAACAGAAACUACAUGCCGGGAACCUUCAAUAAAUCAGAAGAGGAGAGGAAUCAUCCAACCAGGAUUUCUGGAAAACCAGGAAAUGUAUUGAAAGGAGAAAUGCUGUGAUUGGCUACAAGAGGAUAGGGAAGAGGAGGAGAGGAAGGAGAUAGAGUUUCUCCCCCUCUCCU